AUGUUUUUUUUUUUCGAAAAGGGCCUAUACAUAUUUCAAAUAAACACAGCAAAGAUUUUUAAAUUUCAACCAAAUGUUGUUUUCUACCUCUGGGGAAACAUUAAGUUGGUGUUUAGUUUAAAAUAUGACAAGAGAUUACUUUCACAAAAUUUACUUGCUGUGUUUGUUUUACCAGUUUCCCAGUCGUUCGAACCUUCUCACCAGAUCCUGAGCGAGAACAUUGCUUUGGCAAUCAUCUUGCCAAUCAUCCUGGUCAUCCUUCUAAUUGGAGGAAUUUACAUGUAUUAUACAAAAUCCUCAUCAUUCAUUGGCUCAUCCAAAGGUCGCUCUCCAUUGUCAUUCUGCUCGCCUCAACCAGCCAGAAUCGACGUGCCUGUUUAACACCAUGCUUGUAUGUUCAUUUUGUCACACCUCACACCACGCCAUGCUUGCUCUGCUAUACACUCUUACUCAAUACCACAACCUCUUAGCUUUACUCAUUAGGAUUUCCACCGGCUGGAGCAUCAAUGAAGCGUUCAAUAUAUAAAGGUGGAGAAGUAUAGGGCUGUGAAAAAAACAGGUCUUGAUGAAGACCUGAGCAUGUACUUACUCAAAGUUGUAUGAUCCCAAUUCAACACUAACAAAUGUAUUUAACAUACAAUGAUGUACAAACACAUGUGAUAGUUUGAAAUAAUGUCAUGGGCUAUUAUACAUGGGCUUAUACUAAAUAAAUAAGUUGUAACAUCAUAAUCAGAGUACAUUAUUUAAUUAUAUAAUAGAUAAUACACAACCUACCCUGCAGUGUGAGUGAAAACAAAUCCAAUGGUAGUAGUAAAAAGGCAAAAUACCAAAUGAAAUCCCUGUUAGAGAGUCUUUAAAGGAGGGUAGUUGAAUCACUGAAGUGGUUAGGGUCUUUCACUUCCAGCAGGAACUUUCAGGUUCAUUAUCUCAAUGUCUACCAUUUACCUGCAGAAAUCCUAGAGCAUGAGGCCUCCUAUCUGCACAAUAAAGACAUGAAUUCGAUUAAAAUUUCUGCUAAAUUACUACAUUUUAGUGAAUAAAUAAUCUGCAGUCAAUAGCAGUAAAUGGUGCAUUGAUUUGAAUGUGUUGGUUCAACUUAAUCUACUUAGUUUUUGAUGUUGUUGAUGUUGUUGUUGUUUGUCCCAGUUUUACACCUCACUUAAGAGCUUUAUGACGAUGCAUCCCCCCAUCUCAUUGUGACUGUGUCAGACUUUGUGCUGCACCUCAUGCUUUGCCGUGGAGUCAGAUUGCCGAUAGGCCUCCAUUGGCAUUGUCUGUUGUCCUUCAUCCCCACAUCUGCAUGCAAUCAUUAAACAUAACACCCCCAUUAUGAUGAAGCUCUACAACUAAAAAUUCUCCUUGGUUUGUUCAUCCAUAUUGCUGCCUCAGCACCUCCCAACGAUAGACAAUCAAUGGCCUCUUGGUUAGUACACCCCCUUUUAAUGUGUUGAACUUAAAACAAAAACAUUCUGUCUUGUUAUCUGUCUCUCUGUCUUUCUCUCUUUCCAUCUCUCUCGCUCUCUAUCUCCCAAUCCCUCUGUCUCUCCAUCUUUCUGUCUCUGUAUCUCUGUGUCUCUUUAAUCCGCAGCAUCUGUAGACUGGAAUGGAAGCCUCUUUUCUGGAAGACCUUUUCCCAUACACACUCUUAUAGUCCGAUAACAGUGGAGUCAGAUUUCAACAACCCUCUGUAUGAGGCUGGGGUGAGUCCCUCUCUAAAUACUAUGGAAGAUUAAUAUUUUUCCACAUUAUGUAGGUUGUUAUUUUUAUAACGUAUUUUUCAGUUUGAAACAUUGCUAGAUCACGCAUCAAUGUUUAUGACAAAUAUUAAAUGAUGCCAAAACGCUAUCACAACUGUACGGUAAAACCAAUGUAUCUUUCUCUAAAAGUUUUUCUCUUCUCGUUUUCUCCAGGAUACACGAGAAUAUGAAGUAUCCAUUUAAUGGAGUGAGAGAGAGAAACAAAACUCUUUCCAAACCACAAAGAUUAAUAAAAACAAAACAUACUCCAAGAGGGCCAGUACCCGUGUAAUACUCUUCUCCAUGUAUUUAUUUUGUACUACCCACCGUGACCCCAAACAUAGCCCUGUAAUGUGAUCCAUCAGAGGCGUUGUGGGUCUCCUCUCUGCCGCCUGACUUGCUCCGUCAUUGAGAUUGGUGCCUUGCGAAAAAAAGUAGGUUUCAAAAUGAAAAAAACUACCAAAACGAUGUGAAAACUUUGCAAUACUAGACACUGGUCAAUGCAAAAACAGGCAUGAACGAACAUUGUGGUUCAUUUUAUUUAUUAACAAUUCAUAUUAAAUCUAAAUAUGAAUAAAGAUGCAUAGAUAUAUCCAUAUUUACAUAACACAUAAUGCUCAUUAAUCACCAGUAUUUCUGAUUUGUUUCUACCCCUGUAUCUGUAAGGUUUCUGUAUAAUAUAAACUCACCCAGACACAUACAUUGAAUGUAAAUAUUUAACCUAUUAUUGAGGCUCAUAUAUAUAAAUAUAUAAAUAUAUACACUUAUACAUGGUGGGGGUUGGGGUUGGGUGUAUUUUCAUUAUAUAUCUGUAAUGAACAAUUCAGUGCCAAAAUAUAAAGUUGCAUAAUUUAGUGUUUCAUCUCUUGUUGCCAUAGUGUUUAAGACAUGGAUAUUUAGAAAGCCAGCAUUUAAUUUAAAUCUUUGCUGUUUUUGGAGUGUAUUUUUCACAUGACAAUGUGGAUCCGGCUGCAGCAUAAUGACAUGAAUGUCAUUAUGUGUACAUGCCUACACGCAGCAUGCACUGAUUGUAAAUGACAUUGCUUCUACCGAAACGUUCCAUUAUAGUUAUUGGACAUUGACAUUGUUAUCAGAUUUGAUGUUGUAUGCACUAUGUUGAUGGGGUGUGGGGGGGGGGGGGGGGAUACAACCUUGGCUGCUUGCUCUAAUACAUUAUGUAUUUAUUUACAACUGUUUGAACAGUGAACUUAGCGCCUUUCACUGUGUCAUAUAUGAAGAAUUCUGGGGACAGCGGCUUUGUAGAGAAUAUUCUUCUGUUAUCAUUAGUAGUUUUAUUUGCUUUAUAGAUACACACUCUUUUAAAGGAGUUCCUUUUGCUGAACUUGAAAUAAAGUCUGUUGAAUGGUGUUAUUACUGUGUUGUGUUCCCUGUUCUUAGUAUGCAUUGGGUUCUGAAACAGAUCAAACUUUAUUAUUAUUAUUAUUAUUAUUAUUAUUAUCAUCAUUAUCAUACUAGCUAUAAGUCAAAGAAAGUUAAGGCAAAAGAUGGAAAAAUGCUAAUGAUUUCAAAGGUUUCCCGGAAUCACGCUUUCAAACCAAUAGGGGGCGAUAUUUCGACUGUUGUCAACUCUUGGCACUGCUGCUAAUUCCAUUUUGAACCGGAUGAAUAACAUGCAAUAUCAGCGGAAGUUCCUUAUCAAACGACUAUGCGGAUGUAUCAAAAUGAUCCUCUUUAAAUAUCCUUUAAUUUAACAGUGUAGAAGAGUUAAAAUCCUGAUGGUCUUUGUAGUUAUUUUUUUCGUAAUAAGUAAGAAGUGCUAGCGGUUUGAAUAUUGCUUUAUUUUUAAACCAAACGUUGGAAAUGAAUUGCCAAACGUUACCAGAAACACUGCCGUGAAUUAUUAUUAUACUCUUCCUUAUAAGCACUGGCUAAAUAUUCACGACUCAUCGACGUUAAUUGAAUUAUUUCAUUGGAUGUUGGUGUGGUAAGUUCACCUUUUGAAUAUUACCAAUGAGCAUUGCUGGCCAUAUGCUAUGUGUUAACGUUAACGUUUUUAAAAAACAGUUGAGGCAUACGUUUGCUCACCACUUGAGCAAAACAUAUAACAUUUAGCUUGAAAACAUUUGGGUAUUGAUGUGUAGUGCUGUGUCCAUGCGUCAUGCAAGUUCAGCCAACAUUAUACACAACAAUAAACAAUAAAACAACAAUAAAACAAUAAACCAACAAUACAUUUGGUUUAUUGUCAAGGGAAACGAUAUUCUAUUUCCGGUUGUUUUGUUGGUUCUAUAGAACUGACAGUAUUUCGAUUUUUUUAUUGCUAUACAAUUUCAGUUCUAUAUAGAGCUUGGGUUUGCUAUGUAAGGAAAUCAAAUAAAAAUAAAAGGAUAACGCUCUGGUUGUUUGUGGUACAACAAAAGAUUAUUAGGACUUUAGGAGUUAUCAGGCGUCAUAUAAGUGCACCCGGCCUAAACUAAGACUUCUGUCCAGUCUAACAUUUGCAGAUGCUUAUAUAUGUGUGUGUGUGUGUGUGUGUGUGUGUGUGUGUGUGUGUGUGUGUGUGUGUGUGUGUGUGUGUGUGUGUGUGUGUGUGUGUGUGUGUGUGUGUGUGAUACUGAACCACACAUGACCCUCUACCUCUACCUUUCACCCACACCACGUUACUGAAAGGCUGGCUCUUUGAUAUACUAUAAACUAUUCGUUGAAAGAGAGGAAUACAAAUGA
rnacentral:lncRNA from 1 species